GGGCUCCUGCUAUCAAGACUCGUGUAGGAGCAGAAGACUUUUGAGUGAGACGGAUGGGAGAUGGCAGAUACCUGAAGAUGUCACAGCAGACUAAGGUUGACUCCAGCCAAGUUUUGAAGCCUGGCAAAUCUGUGGGACCCCACAAGCUCUAGCUGCAAGACAGCCCAAGUUACAUCAGGCAGUGAGAUCUGUGGCCUUUAUUAAUAAAAAGGCAAGAGAUUUCCUAGCUUGCUGUAAACUACAUAACAUCACCAUGAGAUGGAUUUCAUUCUUUUCAAAGUGAAACACUUGACAACCUCUUCCUUCAUGAGGUUCCUGUGUAACCCGACCUUGUUGUGGCUGCCAGUAUGCUAGAGAUCAGCCUGAAUCUGUAGAUGUUUCCUCCAUUGAAAGGAAUCUACAAUAUCUCAUCUUCACUCUGUCCUGAGGAAGCUGUCUGCCCUUCUCACUUCUCACAGGGUUUUGUAUCCUUCUCUGCAUCGAAAGGUAAUGGCUGUUCCUUUUGUACUUGAACUGAGCUAUAAAAAUAGCUUUGUGCGUGGACAUAAUGCUAGGUCUUACUAAUCAGAUUUCAUUAGGAGUUGC
rnacentral:lncRNA from 1 species